ACAAAUAAGGGACUAUAGCUAAUUUUUUGAUUUAAUAUUUAUUUUUAAUAUGAUUAUAAAUAUAGCGUCGAUCAAAGGCAACGCUAAUUUCUUUCAUAACCUGGUAUUUAUUUAUUACACAUUAGCAUCUUUCUUGAGUGACACUACUUACCCUAAAAAAUAGACUUUUAAUUUUUAUUGAUUGAUUAAAAAUGAGGGUGUCGGUGUUGGCCAACGCUAUUUUAUCCACCCAUAACUUUUUAUACCGCGAUAAAUGUUCCUUUUUCCCAUAAUUUUCGUUUCCCUCU
rnacentral:lncRNA from 1 species